GAACUGGAAAAGGGGAGCUGGCAGUCAGUCGGCUGAGAGUGGGAUGUGUUUCCCAGACCCGUAACCUGAUUUGGAUAAUGCCAACGUAGGGAUAUAAAACCGAGGUCUU
rnacentral:ncRNA from 2 species